rnacentral:rRNA from 1 species
CAGGCUUAACACAUGCAAGUCGAGGGGCAGCAUGGUCUUAGCUUGCUAAGGCCGAUGGCGACCGGCGCACGGGUGAGUAACACGUAUCCAACCUGCCGUCUACUCUUGGACAGCCUUCUGAAAGGAAGAUUAAUACAAGAUGGCAUCAUGAGUCCGCAUGUUCACAUGAUUAAAGGUAUUCCGGUAGACGAUGGGGAUGCGUUCCAUUAGAUAGUAGGCGGGGUAACGGCCCACCUAGUCUUCGAUGGAUAGGGGUUCUGAGAGGAAGGUCCCCCACAUUGGAACUGAGACACGGUCCAAACUCCUACGGGAGGCAGCAGUGAGGAAUAUUGGUCAAUGGGCGAGAGCCUGAACCAGCCAAGUAGCGUGAAGGAUGACUGCCCUAUGGGUUGUAAACUUCUUUUAUAAAGGAAUAAAGUCGGGUAUGGAUACCCGUUUGCAUGUACUUUAUGAAUAAGGAUCGGCUAACUCCGUGCCAGCAGCCGCGGUAAUACGGAGGAUCCGAGCGUUAUCCGGAUUUAUUGGGUUUAAAGGGAGCGUAGAUGGAUGUUUAAGUCAGUUGUGAAAGUUUGCGGCUCAACCGUAAAAUUGCAGUUGAUACUGGAUAUCUUGAGUGCAGUUGAGGCAGGCGGAAUUCGUGGUGUAGCGGUGAAAUGCUUAGAUAUCACGAAGAACUCCGAUUGCGAAGGCAGCCUGCUAAGCUGCAACUGACAUUGAGGCUCGAAAGUGUGGGUAUCAAACAGGAUUAGAUACCCUGGUAGUCCACACGGUAAACGAUGAAUACUCGCUGUUUGCGAUAUACUGCAAGCGGCCAAGCGAAAGCGUUAAGUAUUCCACCUGGGGAGUACGCCGGCAACGGUGAAACUCAAAGGAAUUGACGGGGGCCCGCACAAGCGGAGGAACAUGUGGUUUAAUUCGAUGAUACGCGAGGAACCUUACCCGGGCUUAAAUUGCAGAUGAAUUACGGUGAAAGCCGUAAGCCGCAAGGCAUCUGUGAAGGUGCUGCAUGGUUGUCGUCAGCUCGUGCCGUGAGGUGUCGGCUUAAGUGCCAUAACGAGCGCAACCCUUGUUGUCAGUUACUAACAGGUUCCGCUGAGGACUCUGACAAGACUGCCAUCGUAAGAUGUGAGGAAGGUGGGGAUGACGUCAAAUCAGCACGGCCCUUACGUCCGGGGCUACACACGUGUUACAAUGGGGGGUACAGAGGGCCGCUACCACGCGAGUGGAUGCCAAUCCCCAAAACCUCUCUCAGUUCGGACUGGAGUCUGCAACCCGACUCCACGAAGCUGGAUUCGCUAGUAAUCGCGCAUCAGCCACGGCGCGGUGAAUACGUUCCCGGGCCUUGUACACACCGCCCGUCAAGCCAUGGGAGCCGGGGGUACCUGAAGUGCGUAACCGCGAGGAGCGCCCUAGGGUAAAACUGGUGACUGGGGCUAAGUCGU